rnacentral:tRNA from 1 species
GAACAGGUAAGCUAAGACACUAAGCUAUUGGGCUCAUAACCCGACAAUGGAACUACCUCCCUUGUUCAA